rfam:Sphingomonas sp. SKA58 scf_1100007010442 genomic scaffold, whole genome shotgun sequence.
AGAAUGAGCCUUUCAGGCAUCCUCUCCUAAAACUUUACGGGCUGGCUCAUUGAGCUGGCCCUUUUUUUGUUCUUUC